GUCAAAUGCUUGGAAAGGUAUCCAAGUCUGAUGCUGAAGUCUGUGUCCAUGUAACACAUAUCCAGAUCAGAUAUCACAAACCUCAAUUACGAAACGAAGAACCAGAAACAUUGUGCCUCUUUCCAUCUAUUCUGUGUUAGACUAACCUUCUGGAAAAUCAGUCUACAGACCUGUUUAGGUACUUAAGAUUUAUAACCUUAUGAUAAAAUUCAUGAUAGGAUCUAGGUUUUGAUCCUUAAGGAUGAUAGUUGAAAUCUUCCAGAGAUAAAAGUCUGGUGCAUCACUGAUCCGAUCCUGUGUUUGGAUACAGGAUAAAUAAAGUAGCAUUGCCUCCCCCCUCUCCCUCCCCCUCUCUCCCCCUUCUAGUAGGAUUUACAUGAAGCUAACAAUCACUAAUAAAUAAGCAACGAUUCAAAUUAAAUGCAACAAAUUAAUUCAAAUUAGUGUCUUGAGGGGAGCAACAAAUCUGCCACCUAAUCAUCAAAUUGCUAUUGCACAAUAAAACAAAUUCAUCAAAAUGGGAGCACAGCUAAGCAAUGCACUACGCAUCCACCAUUUAGAAAAAUUAACCCAAACACAUAAAAGAAAGCCGUGACUAGACCCUCAAAACAAUCAUCACAAGGAUGCAAAAAUCAACAAACAAAUUGGUCCAAGCACC
rnacentral:lncRNA from 1 species